rnacentral:rRNA from 1 species
GACUGCGAGACCUACAAGUCGAGCAGGGACGAAAGUCGGGCUUAGUGAUCCGGUGGUUCCGCAUGGAAGGGCCAUCGCUCAACGGAUAAAAGCUACCCCGGGGAUAACAGGCUUAUCUCCCCCAAGAGUCCACAUCGACGGGGAGGUUUGGCACCUCGAUGUCGGCUCAUCGCAUCCUGGGGCUGUAGUCGGUCCCAAGGGUUGGGCUGUUCGCCCAUUAAAGCGGUACGCGAGCUGGGUUCAGAACGUCGUGAGACAGUUCGGUCCCUAUCCGUCGCGGGCGCAGGAAAUUUGAGAGGAGCUGUCCUUAGUACGAGAGGACCGGGAUGGACGCACCGCUGGUGUACCAGUUGUUCUGCCAAGGGCAUCGCUGGGUAGCUAUGUGCGGACGGGAUAAGUGCUGAAAGCAUCUAAGCAUGAAGCCCCCCUCAAGAUGAGAUUUCCCAUUCCGCAAGGAAGUAAGAUCCCUGAAAGAUGAUCAGGUUGAUAGGUCUGAGGUGGAAGUGUGGCGACACAUGGAGCUGACAGAUACUAAUCGAUCGAGGACUUAACCUA